rnacentral:rRNA from 1 species
AUUGAACGCUGGCGGCAUGCUUUACACAUGCAAGUCGGACGGCAGUACAGAGAAGCUUGCUUCUUGGGUGGCGAGUGGCGAACGGGUGAGUAAUAUAUCGGAACGUACCGAGUAAUGGGGGAUAACUAAUCGAAAGAUUAGCUAAUACCGCAUAUUCUCUGAGGAGGAAAGCAGGGGACCUUCGGGCCUUGCGUUAUUCGAGCGGCCGAUAUCUGAUUAGCUAGUUGGUGGGGUAAAGGCCUACCAAGGCGACGAUCAGUAGCGGGUCUGAGAGGAUGAUCCGCCACACUGGGACUGAGACACGGCCCAGACUCCUACGGGAGGCAGCAGUGGGGAAUUUUGGACAAUGGGCGCAAGCCUGAUCCAGCCAUGCCGCGUGUCUGAAGAAGGCCUUCGGGUUGUAAAGGACUUUUGUCAGGGAAGAAAAGGCUGUUGCUAAUACCGACAGCUGAUGACGGUACCUGAAGAAUAAGCACCGGCUAACUACGUG